rnacentral:lncRNA from 1 species
UCCAGAGGAUACUGAACAAUCGAGAAAGAAUUUAUCCCAUGCAAUAGAAAGGCCAGAUAAAAAAUUUAUCGAAAAUGUUAAAGACAGUUCUGAAUGGAAUGACUUUAGCAUAAGUUCACAUGUUGAAGAAUAGGGCUGUUCAGAUAUGUCCUUUUCUGAUAAAAAAGAUAAGGAGACCAUUUUGGUCUCCUUCCUCCUCCUAACCUUCAUCCAACUCCUCUUAUCCUCUAUCCACGCCCCCACCCACAGCAGAAGAGCCCUCCACCAGUCCUUCUUCCCCCUAACCUCCUCUCCCUCCCCAGCCUAACCCCCUUCCCCUUUCUUCCCAAAAUACCCCUCUUCCUUCGCCUCUUUCCAGAAAUAAUCAAUGCCCCUUCUUCCACUCUACCCCUCCCACCACCGCUCUCCUACCAAGCUCGCUCUCACUGUUGCCGCCACGCUGUC